UGCAAGUCGAGGGUAGAAUGUCUUCGGAUGUUUGAGACCGGCGCACGGGUGCGUAACGCGUAUGCAACCUACCCCUUACUGGGGAAUAGCCCGAAGAAAUUCGGAUUUAAUGCCCAUACUGCUCGUACGGCCUCAUGGUCGAGCGAGGAAAGCUCCGGCGGUAAGAGAUGGGCAUGCGUCCUAUUAGCUUGUUGGUGAGGUAAUGGCUCACCAAGGCUACGAUAGGUAGGGGGCCUGAGAGGGUGACCCCCCACACUGGUACUGAGACACGGACCAGACUCC
rnacentral:rRNA from 2 species